rnacentral:rRNA from 1 species
CCUACGGGUGGCAGCAGUGAGGAAUAUUGGUCAAUGGGCGGAAGCCUGAACCAGCCAAGUCGCGUGAGGGAAUAAGGCCCUACGGGUCGUAAACCUCUUUUGCCGGGGAGCAAGGGCGGGGACGUGUCCCGGCCCGGCGAGUACCCGGAGCAAAAGCAUCGGCUAACUCCUUGCCAGCAGCCGCGGUACUACUGGGGAUGCGAGCGUUAGCCGGUUUUCUGGGGUUUAAGGGCGGCGUAGGGGGGCUUCUAAGUCGGCGGGAACAAUUCGGGGCUCAAACCCGUCCGGCCGUUGAAACUGGGGGCCUUGAGUGGGCGAGAGGCAGGCGGAAUGCGUGGUGUAGCGGUGAAAUGCAUAGAUAUCACGCAGAACCACGAUUGCGAAGGCAGCCUUCCGGCGCCCUACUGACGCUGAGGCACGAAAGUGCGGGGAGCGAACAGGAUUAGAUACCCGAGUAGUC